GCUUAACACAUGGAAGUCGAGGGGCAGCGGGGUAGUGCUUGCACUACUGGCGGCGACCUGCACACGGGUGAGUAACACAUAUGGAACCUGCCCACAGCACGGGGAUAAGCGGAAGAAUUUCCGUUCUAAUACCGCGAAGAAACGUGGGGAGGCAUCUCCCGAUGUUUAAAGAUUUAUCGGGCUGCGGAUGGCCAUGCGGCGCAUUAGCUAGUCGGCGGGGUAACGGCCCACCGAGGCGACGAUGCGUAGGGGUUCUGAGAGAAAGGUCCCCCACACUGGUACUGAGACACGGACCAGACUCCUACGGGAGGCAGCAGUGAGGAAUAUUGGUCAAUGGCCGAGAGGCUGAACCAGCCAAGUCGCGUGAGGGAAGACGGCCCUACGGGUUGUAAACCUCUUUUGUCGGGGAGCAAAGCGAACCACGUGUGGUUCAUUGAGAGUACCCGAAGAAAAAGCAUAGGCUAACUCCGUGCCAGCAGCCGCGGUAAUACGGAGGAUGCGAGCGUUAUCCGGAUUUAUUGGGUUUAAAGGGUGCGCAGGCGGAGGUGCAAGUCAGCGGUCAAAUUGCGGGGCUCAACCCCGUACUGCCGUUGAAACUGCAUCCCUUGAGUGCGCGAGAAGUAUGCGGAAUGCGUGGUGUAGCGGUGAAAUGCAUAGAUAUCACGCAGAACUCCGAUUGCGAAGGCAGCAUACCGGCGCGCAACUGACGCUCAUGCACGAAAGCGUGGGUAUCGACCAAAGGUAGAUNCCCUGGUNGUCCNCGCAGUNANCGACCCCUUAUAGCUGUUCGGCCAGAAUGAUGGCUGAGUGGUACAGCGAAAGCGUUAGGUGUUCCACCUGGGGAGUACGCCGGCAACGAGUGAACCUCAAAGGAAUUGACGGGGGCCCGCACAAGCGGAGGAACAUGUGGUUUAAUUUGAUGAUACGCGAGGAACCUUACCCGGGCUCAAACGACACAGGAAUACUUUUGAAAGGAGGUAGCCCUACGGGGUCUGUGUCGAGGUGCUGCAUGGUUGUCGUCAGCUCGUGCCGUGAGGUGUCGGCUUAAGUGCCAUAACGAGCGCAACCCCUAUCGCCAGUUACCAUCAAGUAAAGUUGGGGACUCUGGCGAGACUGCCGGCGCAAGCUGAGAGGAAGGCGGGGAUGACGUCAAAUCAGCACGGCCCUUACGUCCGGGGCGACACACGUGUUACAAUGGCAGGUACAGAGAGAAGCCAGGUGGUGACACCGAGCGGAACUCGAAAGCCUGUCUCAGUUCGGAUCGGAGUCUGCAACCCGACUCCGUGAAGCUGGAUUCGCUAGUAAUCGCGCAUCAGCCAUGGCGCGGUGAAUACGUUCCCGGGCCUUGCACACACCACCCGUCAAG
rnacentral:rRNA from 1 species